GCCCUCCCUGUUCUGACCCACCGACCUGAACUUGGGUCCAUUUAUACAGCAGAGACCAGCUCUAACAGCAAGAGGCCAGAAAGGCAGUUGGAGGCCCUCGUGGUCACUGACCUGCUCUGACGCCUGCUCAUCUGUCUGCCC
rnacentral:lncRNA from 9 species